rnacentral:misc_RNA from 1 species
AUCAGUGGAUCCGGCGGGGGACUCUCAGGAGGACCCCCGUCGGGUAGACCUCCACCCGUGCCUAUAUACUCUUGUUGCUUUGGCGGGCCGUGGCCUCCACUACGGGCUCUGCUCGUAUGUGCCCGCCAGAGGACCAAAUUCUGAAUAUUAGUGAUGUCUGAGUACUAUUUAAUAGUUA